GCGAGGAAUAUUGCGCAAUGGGCGAAAGCCUGACGCAGUAACGCCGCGUGCGGGAAGAAGGCCUUCGGGUCGUAAACCGCUUUUUGGAGGGACGAGGAAGGACGGUACCUCUAGAAUAAGUCCCGGCUAACUACGUGCCAGCAGCCGCGGUAAAACGUAGGGGGCGAGCGUUAUCCGGAUUUACUGGGCGUAAAGCGCGCGCAGGCGGCGGGUCAAGUUGGCCGUGAAAGCUCCCGGCUUAACUGGGAGAGGUCGACCAAAACUGACCGGCUAGAGGCUGAGAGAGGAGAGCAGAAUUCCCGGUGUAGUGGUGGAAUGCGUAGAUAUCGGGAGGAAUACCAGUGGCGAAGGCGGCUCUCUGGCUCAGAACUGACGCUGAGGUGCGAAAGCGUGGGGAGCGAACGGGAUUAGAUACCCCGGUAGUCC
rnacentral:rRNA from 1 species